GCUAUUGCCGAUUAAAAGGGAAUCAGGUGUAAAUCCUGAACAGUCCCGCUGCUGUAAGUUUCGAAUUAACGGACAGAUACUACAAGCCACUGUAUAUCGACACAGAUUUACGGGAAGGCAUCUCAAUCCGGAAACAAGUCAGAAGACCUGCCUUAUAUAUU
rnacentral:ncRNA from 1 species